UCUAUCUCCCAGGAUGUACGUGUAAAAGACAUAACAGUGACUUCAAAUCAACACUGGUUAUUUAGUUCCAAACAAUUCUUGUCUUGAGGUUACUGACUGAUACUGAUUUUUCUGGGUGUUUGCAUAUGUCAGGAAAAAAUAGCUUCCUCGGGAUGUAUCAGUGAAGUUCUGCUGUGGGUCGCCGAUAUAAAGAGAAUGUAGUGGUCUUCUCAAGCCCCUGUGCAGCUUGCCUGUACUGAAGUGGACAAGGCUGCCUCUACCGUAUCCCCCGCUGAGACCUGUUGGAGCUUCUGCAUGUGGCUUGGGUUGUGGCUCUGGUGCCUACCUGAAGGCCUGCCUGGCCUCCCCAUGUGGGUCCUGUAGUCUCUCUUCUGUCAGCAGAGAGAAGCAAACUUUUCUGAAAGUGCAGUGUAUCAUACCCUAAGUCUUCCAGGUCCAGAGUUCACAAGUGAUUCGUCCUUGAGAAAGGAGCCGCUUCUCCACCGGAUGGCCUUUUGGUCUGCCAAGCUGAAAUAGGCAAAAUGGAUGAAGUAUACCAGAUCUCUUCUACUGAGAAGGUCCAGCAGCUGGAACAAGAACUAGCAGCACCACUGGCAGAGCUGAAGGCAGAAACAGAAGAGAACAGGAUACUCCAGGGAAUACCCAGUAGGGCAUACAGGUAACAAGAAUUUCCUGGGAAUGAGGGAGAGAGUGGUAUUAUAGCAAUGCAUUGUAUCUCUUUUUGGGUUUUAUUUGGUCAUGAUACCAAAGUCAUGUCAUAUAUAACUGUUCAAUUUUGAGACCUGAAUGCACACAUGGGAGCCAGGAAGAGCAGCUUUUUCAUUGUUUGUCUACUACAGAAUUACGGUUGUAAGGGAAGAAAAUGUUGAAACAUAAACUAAACUGAUUUCAUGUUGUGUAUCGCAAACAAAACUUGAAAUCUCUAUAGCAUGUCAAGUAUUUCCUUCUUACAGUGAAGAGGAAUUAGCUUCCAACAUAACGCUGGGAUGUAUAAACAGAAUGGUCACAUAUAAGACAGCCACUCCUACUUUCCUCGGUGAUGAUGACAUGCAAGCUAUGACAAUGUACCCAUGUUUGGCAUUAUGCUUCAAGGAAGCUGUAGACCACCUGGAGAAUAUGUGGAGGAAACAGAGGUGAAGAACACCUAACUAGGACACUUGAGACAAAAAAGAAAGGAGCUGGACUUACAUCUCCACUCCAUUUUCUCUGGGUUAUAAAUCUUAAGACACAUGGGAGAUUGCUGUAAAGAUGAAGGGAAUAAACUUGCUUGCACUUAUGAAGACAGAAAUAAUGGGCUAAAUAGAAAGCUUUCCAAAAAUUGUGUUAAUUAAACACUAAUAUCUGGUCUAGGAUGUUGCUGACCAUCCUUGCCUGGAGGCCCUUAAGAAGCGGAUAGACAAACAUCUUCAGGGAAUAGAUUUACUUUUCCCUGCCUUAGAGCAGUGGAAGUGGAACAUGGUCACAAAACCUCUCCUGGUCCUACCUCUUUAGGACUCCAAAGUGUUCCAGCAUAGUUUCCCCUGUAUUGCUUUUGGACAAGACUCAGGAGCCCUUUUUUUUAAUGGUCCAAUUUUCACCUAUGUUUUUAAUUUGCAUACAUUCAUUUUAUUCAGUUAAACAAAAAUUUUGUAAUGUAUGCUUGCUGUAAGUAUAUGGAUACAUGAGAAUUAAAAAACAGCUCUCCUCCAGAAGUUUUCUCAACCCCUCCUUCUGUGAUAUGGGCGUAUUAGGAAGGCAGUUGUCUGAAUUGUGAAGGGUGCUUGUCAAGGAGCUCCACUGCAUAGUUGUGGGUUGAAAUAUGUGCCCAUAAAAUUGACAAGCAUCCAGAUGGACUUUGAAAGGGCUUUGACUAAAAAUGGAGGUGGAAGAAAAGAGUUUGCCAAAAAAUGUCUGCUAAUGAAAUAAAUUCUGCUGCUUUAAUAUAGGGUUUUCAUACCAUUAAACUUGCUUACUGUUAACUUCACCAUCUGAAUUGUGUUGGGCCUGACAAAUAUUUGGUUUACACCAGCUUGAAUGUAACAUCCUGUUGAAAGGUUUUUUUCUGCAGUUCUCUUACAAAGGAUGCAUCUUAUUUCAGAAAAGAAAGGUAGGUAAUACUGAAGAAAGCCUUAAAGGUAGGUAGCUAAAACAUACACUGGCUUAAAAAAACCCUCUUUGCUCUUUACAAAGUAGUAACUGAAAAUUAAAAUCAGAGAAAGUGAUAUGAUUUUUGGAAUCUGAGCCUGUAAAGACAGAAUGGGAGGUGUCAUAAUGUUGUUUGCACAGUAGUAAAAUAGCAUAACCUUCCUUUUAUUUGAAUAAUAAUAUGGGCCUUGUAUUUUUCUGUAUUUACCACUUUUUUUAAUAUAUCCUGAAAAAGAUCUCUAGUCAACAUGUGCUCCGUUUGCAUUUGGCAGAAGCAAAACCUCUUGUUAUUCAGGCUGAUGUCGUGCAGAGGGAGUUAGAGAGCUGCUGGAGAAGGGAGCAUACAGCAGCAAACCUGCCUCUGCUGCUGCACCAGGUAGGGCUCCCACUUGCUUCGAAUACCCAGGAGCUUUCCUCUGGCCCAGGUUGCACUAUGCACAUUUUAAAAUAAAAACAGUAUGAAACUCCUUCCUGAAAACGGGCGCGAAAAUGUCAGUGCUUGCAGUUCCCUUGCACUACGUGAAAAUUUCCUGUUCUCUUACUUUGAAGGACAGGAGUCGAAACCAGGUCAGAUGGGCUGGGGCAAGGUUCUCCUUGUUCUCUGCUGCUUUUGUACUGUUAUAGUACGUCUGUGUUGCGGGUUAUUUUUAGUUUCAUUUUUAAAGUGGAGUUCAAAUUUCUAGGUCCAAUGGACUGAAUUCUGCCAUUUUUCAUGUAUUAAAGUUUUUUUCUUUUUUUCAUUCCCACAAUAACACUUCCACUGGGACAACUUAGGGGAAGUACCCUUCAGGGAUAAAUAUAACAGCACAGUGGCCAUUGGUGACUUAUUAGCUGUUGUUUUGGUGUUAUUCUCUAAUGCUAACGAUGAUCUAGAUACUGCUUAAGUUUCGUAUAACGUUAAGCUUCUGUUGUUUACAAAGGUGUGAUUUGCUGAUUAUUCCUGAUGUUAUUCAAGUUUUUUACAAACAUAAUUAUUCAACUAGUCCAGAGUAAAUAUUUGCACGUGCUUAGAUGGAGGAGAUUUUGUACGCACAGCAGUGUUAUUGAACAGCUUUAUCCUCUCUAUCAGGUAGGAACCAAAAGCUAGGAUCUAGCAUGUAUUUAUCUAGCACAGUAGCUGUUCAUGAGAAGAGAAGUGUUAGCAAUGGCCUUUUUUGCCACCCAGAUAAAAAGCUAUUAACAUUAAGGGUAAUUUGCCAAUGGACAUUCACUCUCAGCUGUCUGCUUAUGGUCAGUAUUAGCUGAUCGGAGACAUUCACUAUUUGGACUGAAAUUCCCUUUUCCUCAUUGCGUUGCAAAUAUAAUUCGUAAGCAUUAGGAAGGAAGUAAACCUUUGAGAUUACUCUCAAACUAGGAUUCCACAUGCAGUGGGAAUGUGACGGCCUUCUAGCUAAUAAGGGAAGAAGAUGCAGAAAUGCAAAAACAACAGUGUCCCUUCUAUAUACAUAAACAGAAGCAAAUUGGUCACAUCAUGGAGGAAUACAACGAUGCAGUUCAGAGGGCUGCAAGACUUUCAGCAGCAAGGGAAAGUUUCCUGACAGGAAAGGAAAAGCCAGUAGAUGUAGUGACACAGGAAGAUCUGAUGAUUUACACCCAGUGGUUAGUGUGUCACCUACACUCUCCAAAGGGCAUUCACUGUUUUCUCCAGAUAAGAUGAGCGUUUUUUGAAUAGUGAAGUAUAAUUAUGGUACAUUCAAGUCUUGGAUAAGAAAGUAAACUGAGGAAGAUCAAAUUCAAUGUAAAAGAAGUCUAGAGGUUUGUAAGUAAUGAGCUAGACUGCAUACAUAUGACUUUCAAUUCUUUUAGCAUAUUGAUUUUGCUAGAAAGGAAAUACUACAAUGGUAAAGCUGAAUAAGGUAAGUGGAAUAAUGUGCUCCCAGGGUGAAUUGUAGGUAGUGUUGGGCUGCUUGGAUUUGAGGAGGUCCAGGAUGAGAAGGAGAAAUCCUGGAGAGACUUCUUUUCUGUAUUAUUACUCUGAUGAUAUUUUGAUAGAGCAGGACACUCUCAAGGGACUGCGUCAUGUCAAUGAACAGUCCUUAGAUUUGAGGAAUGUUUAAGUGUCACCUUUCGAAAACAAAUACGAAUACUUCCGUAUUUUAUCUGGUUUCUUUAAUGAUCUUAUUAUAUGAGUGCUCCAAGUAAUUGACAGUGAAUAGACUUCUGGAACUAUACGUAAUAACUAUGGUUUGCUUUUUCUCUUUUGUCUUUUAUUUUAUUGCAGCUGCAUAUUUUGUAUGCUUUCUAAAUGACUGAGAAUAACAACAGGUAUGUUCUUAACUCCAGGUUCUCCAGCAUUUGCCUAUUUCUCACAGAAUGAAUGUGGCUGAUGAGAAAAGUCCUGAUGUGGCCCAAGACAACUGGGACAAAUUAAGAAGUCCUUUUGACAAGAAUUCAGACAUUUUUAAUAUUGAAGUGUUUCCAUUUUCAAGAGUUUGAAGAAGAAAUGAUGAGAAAUUGUUUUCCUUUAAAACCACAAGUCCUACAGAUAAUGCAUUUGUUGAUACAUAUUCUUUGAGAACGGUCAACAGUGCAAAUGUUGCCAUCCUUGGUUUGUAUGCUUGAAAAAUUGGGAGUGUAGCUUUUAAAGUCAGCAAGAAUCCUGGAAAUCCGUUGUCCAGAUUCCAGGGUGUGGGGCCCUGAAUCUGCAACAGUCACUCCUCUGGCCUUACCGUGCCCUGAGAUGCUGAAACAGGCGGUUGGGAAGGAUACUUGUGGGAUCAACUCAGUGGAGAAUCCGGGAUGUGGUCCUGAUUAUGCCAAACCCUGAAAUGCACCCUUCCAACUUUCUGCAAGAAUAUUAUUUAAAAUUUUUCUGUGGGUGGCCUGUUUCUGGAGAAACUAAGAGAAAAGCACUAUUGUUCUAAGACUUAAACUUAAGUAUCUCAAAAAAAAUUGCCUUGUGGCUAUUUUCAGGUUCUCUUGCCUUUUGGAGGAAGGAAGGGAGUGACGUUGCUUGUGUAGAGUUACCCAUGUGAAUGGUACUUAAGCAAGCAAAGCAGCAUUUCUGUUGCAGAUUGUUUAAAACCUAUGAUUUAACCCGUGCGGUUACAGAGUGGGAACAGUGUGGAACUGUAGGAGCUCACAGGGUAGUCUCUAGAAAAGCACAACCCCUUGCCCCUGGGGACUAGGCAGGGUGUACGCCUCCUCCUUGCAGGCAAGAAGUGGGCUGGCCAGGGUGGAGGAAUGAAAAGGAGCUAUAACUUGUCCUCCCAUCUCCUUUCUCCACCAAAGACUUCUACCACAAGGGGUGUACCUGUGGGUCUGCAUCCGGGAGCAGGGCACAGCCCUGGCCUGGAGUGGUACUGCCCAACCAGUGACUGAGAACAAUGCUAAGGGAAGUGCAGACUUACCUGGGACAGAUAAGAGGCCUUUAACCUUUAGUUAGUGGUCUAACUAAGCUCUAACUGGACUAACUGGCUGUACUGGUGCUGCCCUCUUUCACCCCUUAGGCCCAAGGGGGUCUCAGGCACGGCUUGCUGGGGAGAUAUGGCAGCACUGCCCCAGGAGUACAGCGCUACCGGUGUUAAGGUGCAAGGAGAGGAGAGUUAAACUUCCCUCCAAAUGAAGACCCUUGAACAGGCCAACAUUUCUCUCAUAAGUGGGAUAGGAGAGGAAGAGGUGAUCUGUGAUCUCAGAUACAGUGGGCUAAUAAUGCAUGGAGAAGGGCGCAAGACCUACAAUGUUACAGAGUUCACCUGAGCCAUUCAUUUUUCCAAGAAGUAGACCCUUAUUGGCAUUUAAAAGCAACUCAGAAGUGCUCUAGCUCAUUUUGAUCUUCAGUAUAUAGUUAUCUAAUAUGUGAGGAACUGUACCAUAUUAUCAUCAUAAGCUUCAUUCAUCCGCUAUCUAGAUCUGAGUUCACAGAUGAAACAACAGAAUGAUUAAACAAGACAUUUAAAACAAAGCUGAAGUAAAGCAUGGAAUAGAAACGUGGAUGGCCUUUUAUUGGUGAAACAAUGAGAUAAUAAAUCAGAUUACAUGUAGUUCCACUAAACCCUGAGAGUUUCGCUGAACUUGAGCAUCUUUGCGUGUAUCUACAGUACCGAUUAGCACUAGGUGAAGGAGAAUCAGUUGAUACUUCCUUGGACUUUCAAAUAUCUUUGGAAAAGAACUAGCAGAUAAAGUGCUGCUGUUUGUUAUGGCUUGAUCUGAGAAAAUUAAAAAAACAAUUGGAAUAAUGUCCACAUUUCUCUGUUGAAAGAUGAUAGUAUAGGGCAAACUAAGACUCUAUAUAAAAAGCAGCGUUAAACAUGCUUGUUGAAUGAGCUGAAAAAAGAGAAAAAAAGGUAACAAAACUUAGAGGAACACAGUUGUUUUGGCUUUUCAAGGAUGAAGAAAUACUAAUAUCCUCCAAAGCCUUGAGCAAGCCUGAGAUGAAGUAAAGAAGGAGGAGAAAACAUUUCAUUUCUUCUAAAAAUGGGAGCUAUGUUGCCAACAGACUCUUCAACACUGACACGAGGCCAAAUUCAGCCAUCCCCAGUACACCCUUGUUUCAGAAGUUUGUGAUAGCAGCAUCAUGCCAGAAUCAAAUACCGGAGGAGUGACAACCCUGAAAUAGUAACAUACUUGAAGUUCUUGUGGCAUGUGAAGAUCUGGGAGGUGUGUGUGUGAGAAGAAUGUUGUACACCCCUGAGCCACAACUCUGUUCAGGCAAUAGGAUUUGUUAGUUGGUGUCCUUUCUGUGCUGGAAGAUAGGCACUCCUCCAAGGACCAUGGAGGUGCCCCAACCUGCAACAGCUAUUAGUCUUUCCUGGUCUGGUGGAAGGCCCUUUCUUAAAAUAAAAGUGAAAAUAAUAAAAAUCCAUACGAGGUGGGUCAUCCCGUCCCUGUGCCUGCCCCCGCCCGUCACAUUCCUUUCUCUGACAUGCUUCUUCCUCAGGACAAAAAAGGGGGAAUUACAUCAUUGUGUGGAUGCAAAGCAAAGGGCACUGACAGCAUUGCUUACAGUCAUCUUACAGCCUUAUUGCUUAAAGUGUUGGUGUUCUCCAGAUGGUCUCAUGAUGGCUUUUUGCAGAACCCUGCCACAAGGACACUGGGUUCACUUUGCCCCGACACAGCACUGAAAUUGAGGAGCUGAAACCUCAGCUCCAGCUUCGCUUUCUCAUUUUGGUAUUGACUACAACCUUAAGGAUCUUAAGAACUCAGCUGAUGAGAUGGAACUCUUUUACCUGGUAACUGAAAUGUACUUUUCAAUAUUUAUUUUUUUUUAAAAAAAAGGUCUUUAAAAGUUUGGAAUGAAGUCCCAUUUGUUACAAGUCAGUGUCUUGCGUCAUGGAAAAAUAAGAUUGUGGGCAUUUUCACUCUUGCAAGCAGAAAGGCCCGGCUCGCCCUCACUAAUCUAUAGUAACUGCCGAUGUUUGUAUUUUCAGCAUCAUGGCUUUGAGUCCACACCUUUGCUCCCCCACUUGUCCUUUUUGUGCAUUUUUCUCGAGUAUUCUUGCCCUUGUUUGGUGUGUCCCCAAGCUGUGGUACUUCCACUAGAGGUCGGCUGUGACACACCAUCGCCCAGGACCUCGCCCAGCCUCCGAAGCUUAGGGGUUACCAGCAGGAAAACUGGUUUUUGUCUUUUCUGUAAUCCAAAAGGCAAAACCAACUGAAAAUCUCCACCGUGUGUCCAGGGUAUCAAAGUGAUGCAUAACUGUUAAACGUAAAUAAUGUACUGCUUUUAAAUACAUGGCUUGCUUUACAAAUCAGGCCUUGUGUAAGAACAGGUAGUACAGCUGAAAAGGACAAAGGUUUGGUUACAUCAACUGGUCUGUAAGUCUCUCAUCAAAUUAACAUUUGACUAGUCCAG